rnacentral:misc_RNA from 1 species
UAUGUAAAUGUGAAAAAAAUGAUCUAUUAUAUCGUCUCUGUUUCAUCACGAAAGUUUCUUAAUGGAUAAACAAGCGAAUCAAAGUUCUUUCUAACUUUUUUUAGUUCGCAAUUUCUAUAAUAUGGAGUAAAGAAGUAUUGUAUAAUAAUAAUAAUAAGAAGAAACACAUGAAAAAUUAAGUUGUACAAUCUGUGAAACAAACUUCUCGUAUGUAUUACAAUUUUAUACCAUUAAUAAAAAAUGAUUCUCCAACCAUCGAAUAAUAGAAUCGUUGGAGGCGCAUAUAUAAACAUCACGUUCGUUCCAUACAUGCUCUCGCUCAUGUUGAGAGGUCAACACAUAUGUGGUGGUGGUAUUCUUAACGAGAAUUUCGCUAUAACGGCAGCACAUUGUGCCGAAGUAGUUGCUAGACGUAUAAAUGAUUCCACAGUUCGUAGCGGAUCUUCUUAUAGAGACAAAGGUGGUGUCAUUCACAAUGUAGUAAAAGUAAUUAAUCAUAAAAAGUUUGAUUCGAAUACAAACAAUUAUGAUAUCGCGAUCCUAAAGAUACACCCACCUUUUAAAUAUGAUAGUAGUACUCAGCCAUUAAAGAUACCAUUUAAUAAAUCGACUCCUAGUGAUUUAGGCUUUGUAGCUGGUUGGGGAUACUUUUUGAACUUCGACCCGGUUCUCUCCGAACAAUUGCAAUAUGUUCUACUACCAAAAGUAUCGAAAAACAAAUGUAAAGAAGAUUAUUCAGGUAGCUUUGAAAUAACUGAAACUCAAGUAUGUUAUGGAUUGAAUGAGGGAGGACAUGACGCUUGUAGAGGUGAUUCAGGUGGACCAAUGGUUAAUUUGGAUAAUGUUUUAAUCGCUGUGACAUCGUGGGGUGAUGGAUGUGCACACCCAAAUCAGCCGGGUGUUUAUACCGAUGCUAUUCUACUUCGUGAUUGGAUAAAGAAUAACAUUGGAAAACAUUAAGACGGAAAUUAAUAUGACGAAAAUGUUACGAAAAACAAUUAUCUAUUUCGAUAAUGUUAAACAAUAUAUUUAUUGAUACAGAUGUAAGAUGACUUCGACAUUUUGACCAUUCUCGGAAACGACAAAUUUAGCAUCUUUGUAAUGCAAAAGAUUACCCUUUUUUCUCGAAUGCCA